CGGGGCAGGGGGCCACGGCCCCGACGGGGGAGGGCGGCUGUGCGCAGGCGCCCCACAGCCGCCUUCCCGCGGACAUUGGGUUUCAUAGACUCUCUAGGACUGGAAGGGACCUCGAGACCAGUUACCGGUCCAGGAUUGGAUCUUCCGUCUUAUCCCAUGACUGCUUAUUUUGCUUAUGAAUCUUUGAAACCACCACCCAACAGGUUCGGACAGGAAGUGAAGAAGUAUCCUGUAUCACUGGAAACUGCCAGGGGGAAUUGAGGGAGGCAGAAGGUAAUGACCCGAGAUAAAGGGUCUAGCAGUAACCAUCCAUCAGGAUACUGGGGUGACAGAACCGCUGCAGCCUCACCUCACCACCUAGGAUGAGGCCAUAAGAAGCUUGCACCAAGAGCUGACCUGACUCUCCUGUCAUGGUGACAGAGGACUCCCUGGGGUCAGCAAGGACUGCAGCCAAGGGGGCCCCCUGGGGCCCUGAAAGCUUUUGUCUGUUACAAUGCCUGUGCUGAUCCAUUUCUCCACCUUCCACAUGGAAAUCAAUACAGCCAGCCAGCCGGCAUCCGCCA